rnacentral:lncRNA from 1 species
GUCAGUCAAUCGAUGGAGGUCUUGCAGAUACUUCUCUUUCUAGCCCAAGGGUCAGCAGACUAUGGCCCACUGGCCAAAUCCAGCCCCAACCUCUUUUUAUUCUUAAAAAAUUUUUUGUCUGCGCCUGCGGCAUGCAGAAGUUCCCAGGCUAGGGGUUGAAUCGGAGCUGUAGCCACCAGCCUACGCCAGAGCCACAGCAACGCUGGAUCCGAGCCGCGUCUGCAACCUACACCACAGCUCACGGCAACGCCGGAUCGUUAACCCACUGAGCAAGGGCAAGGAUCGAACCCGCAACCUCAUGGUUCCUAGUCGGAUUCGUUAACCACUGCGCCACAACGGGAACUCCCUCUGUCUUCACUCUUGAAGCUCAUGGUCAUGGAUUACUAUUUUUCAGUUACUGCCUUCAUUCUCCCCCCCCCAGUUAUAUUACUAACUUGUAAUACAGUUGAGCUCUUUUCUUUUGGUUUCUAUUCCACUUGGGGGUCUCAUCCCAUCUAUUUGUUUGUGUUUUGUGUGUGUGUGAGUCACAAACCUGUUUCUAAGUCAGAACAUAUACAAAGUCCUGUUCAGAGGUGCUGCCCCCUAGAGUUCCCACUGUGGCUCAGUGGAUUAUGAACCUGACUAGUAUCCAUGAGGACGUGGGUUUGAUUCCUGGCCUCACUUGGUGGGGUAAGGAUCCAGCAUUGCUGCAUCCUGCAUUGUAGGUCCCAGAUGCACUUGGAUCUGGUGUUGUUAUGGCUGUGGUGUAGGCUGGCAUCUGCCACUCCUAGCCUGGGAACUUCCAUAUACAAUAGGUGUGGCCAUUAAAAAGAAAAAGUGCUACCCUCCCCUGCAGGCACCUCCACCCUCCCCUGAAGCUAACCAGUCUUGUUAGUUACUGCUUUAUAUUCUCUUUCUUUUCCACACAUGGGCUGAUUCUUGUGUGUUGUAUUAAAAAUAUUAGUAACAGAGUGUAUAUAUUCAGAGUGUUUUUAUUCAGAUUGACUUUCAGCAUGUAUACAAGAUUCAUAAGCCUAUAUUAUGCAACUGCAUAGCUGUAACUGGUAUUUAUGGAUAAUUUGUCAGUGUCAAACGCAUAUUAUUUUAUCUAAUUCUCAUUACAGCCUAAGGAGCAGAGCUAUUAUUAUGUCCAUUUUAUAGACGAGAAAAUCGAGGCCUAGAGUUUACAUAACUUGCCCAAGGUCACAAAGUUAGUGAUAUAAUGUCAUGUAAGUUUUCUAUUCAGGGCUUGCUUGCUUAUGAGGACAAAACCCCUUUCAAACUAGCCUACGUUAAAAAGGUAGCUUUAGGAGUUCCUUGGUGGCCUAGCAGUUAAGGACUCAGUGUUAUCACUGCUGUGGCUUGGGUUCGAUCCCUGGCCUGGGAACCUGUGCAUGAUGUGGGCGAGGCAAAGAUUAAUUAAAAGGUACAUUUAGGAGUUCCCCCUUUGGUGCAGUGGGUUAAAAGUCCGACUGUGAUGGCUCAGGUUGCUGUGGAGGAGCGGGCUGGAUCCCUGGCCUAGUGCAGUAGGUUAAAGGGUUAAAGGAUCCAGCAUUACCGCAGCUGUGGCCUAGGUCACAGCUGUGGUUCGGAUUGGGCUGGAACUUGCAUAUGCCCUGGGUUUUUUAAUUAAAAAAAAAAAAAAAAAA